rnacentral:rRNA from 1 species
GUGGGGAAUAUUGGACAAUGGGCGCGAGCCUGAUCCAGCCAUGCCGCGUGAGUGAUGAAGGCCUUAGGGUUGUAAAGCUCUUUCAGUAGGGAAGAUAAUGACGGUACCUACAGAAGAAGCCCCGGCUAACUUCGUGCCAGCAGCCGCGGUAAUACGAAGGGGGCUAGCGUUGUUCGGAUUUACUGGGCGUAAAGCGCACGUAGGCGGAUUGUUAAGUCAGAGGUGAAAUCCUGGAGCUCAACUCCAGAACUGCCUUUGAUACUGGCAAUCUCGAGUCCGGAAGAGGUGAGUGGAACUCCUAGUGUAGAGGUGGAAUUCGUAGAUAUUAGGAAGAACACCAGUGGCGAAGGCGGCUCACUGGUCCGGUACUGACGCUGAGGUGCGAAAGCGUGGGGAGCAAACAGGAUUAGAAACCCGGGUAGUCC